AGAAUUUCGAGGGGAAUCUAGCGGUGAUCUCGAAAACGCGAGGGGAGGCUUCGUUGAGUGGGGAAGCAUUUGGAGACCGUUCGGAGAGGAAAAGAUCCGGUACCGUGAGUUGGAGCACGCGUGAUCGGCUUUCAGGUCCGAGCACUAGUAGCCAGCGUUGAUCGAGCUUGGAGUAGACUUAUCUGGAGACGGGGGUGAGCACACGGCGUUCUGUACU